UUUCCUAUGGUUACCCCCUAAAAAAAAAAACUGACGUCCCAGGUAACAAAUUAGACCAUUGAAGAACCGCUUAGAAGAGGGUAGUUUAACAGCAAAAAUUAUCAUCAAUGAGUUAUCAAUAAAACGACUUCUGAUAACUUCUAGAUAAAUUAUCAUAAGAAAUUUAAAUAAAAACCAUCAUUGCCAAUUUGGAAAAAAAUUAUCUAAGUAAAAUAUUAUUCGGAUAAAUGGAUAGAAACACAGGUGGACAAUAAGUCACUACCGACAACUUAGUUAUGAAGAAUAUCAUUCAUCAAUUAUAAAAAAAAGAGAGACAAUUUUAUUAAAUAAACGAUCAUUGAAACUUUGUAAGUAUUCGUCGAGUCAUCCAAGAAAAUACUUCAUUUAGACAUAAAUUUCAAUUUAACAAGUAAGUUUUUUAUAUUCGUUUUAUGUAACAUAAUAAGUUUUUCGAGUUUAACACAAGAAAUGUAAAACAUAAGUCUACACAAUCUGUCAAACAAAUUCGGUAUUGUUUACAGAUUCCUUUUUAUUUCUUUUAAGAACAUAAAGUGACGACAAGAAAUGAAAUAAAAGAAAACUAUAAAGAAUAAAAUAUCGUUUAUGUAAAAAAUAAUAAUUCAAAAAUAUUUAUUACUACAUAAAUUACUUCCCUUCCUAAAGUAUUAUAAUUAAGGAAAAAGUAAAAGAAAAAUAGAUAUUUUUGCAUAAUGAUGUUUAAACAUCUUAACGAAAUUACCAAAAAACUACAAUAAUUUUCUAAUAUUUCAUCGCAUGUAAUUGCCUAAUAAUAUCAUACAUAAUAUCACAUAAUUGCCUAAUUCGUGAAAUUACCAAUAUGACAUAUUUUAAUUCUAACGUGAAAUUUGUGAAGUCAUUGACAGUUGCGACGUUAUCCAAUACGGUUCUGCAGUGCCCAUCCGAAUUUGAAUCUAUGGUAGAUACAACCACAUUCGAACACGAAGAAGAGACGUAGAAGACACCGAGAUGAUUCUGUGGUGGAGCAUUGCACGCGGCGGUUUAACCUCCGUUCGCUCCUUGUUCACUUGACGAAAAGCGAAAAUUAAAUUUUGAGCGUCCUCAAUAGUUCGCGUAAAAUUCAUUGCGAAAGCCUACCUGUUUCUUGUUGGCCGAUGUACCAGGCUACCUGGCCUUGCAUUGCUUCCAGUUUUUCUUUCAUAUCAUCACAAUUUAUAAAACAGGUGAAUACGCGUUUUUUGGUUGUCAUUUUAGUAGUAAUGACGGGUGUCGUAUCUCACAAGAUGCACUGUAGGAUGGGUACACUUUGGACACACGUCAAGGAGUUUUACUUUGCUUAUCCAAUACGGUUGUAGCUGAUAUUUGUAUUUGCGCGCGUAAUUAUACUUUGAACACACGAUUUUUUUGGAGUAGACGAAAUAAUUUCUCGGCGGUGUGACGUUCAUUAUUAAACUGAAAUGUUAUUGCGUGUUCCGGAUGUUUUAUUAAUAGCAUUAUCAACGGAUAUUCUUAUCUUAUUUACGCCUCCCUGCCGGUGACGUUUGCGUCACUUGGUUGGCACCACGGACGACGGUUGGCACCACGGACCACGGUUAGGUUGGCACCACGGUUUGGUUAAUUUGGCACCACUGACAACGAUCGGGGGCUACGCCCCCGCGCGGGCGGGGGGCCACCGAACGGCACGCGGGCGAACGGCGCGCGCGACAUCUAGCAGCAACGGGACGGAACCGACGGUACAUAAUUAGCUCGGCAUUAAAGUGACCGUUCAACGACGGACGGGUUUUCACGGCAGCCCCCCCGAGAUGGCGGGGGUCCCCGAACGGCACGCGGGCGAACGGACAAAGACAACGGUUUGGUUGGCACCACGGACUACGGUUGGCACCACUGACGACGGUUUGGUAAGGUUUGGGCGAGUGACCUAUGGCGAACGGCCAGAACACAAAAAGAAGAAGACCAUGGCCGAGUGGUCCAUGGGCUGGUGGCCAAUGGGUCCAGGGUAAAAGAAGAAGACCCGUGGGCGGAGGGGCCGUGGCAGGGAAGCCAAAAAGUGAGGUUAUGUGGGCCUGGAUGUCCCUUUAUUCAUCUACAUGCAAGGCCAGGUAGGCAAUGGUAAUCGCGCAUAAAGUCGAGAUACAUAGAAUAGAGCUCUGGGUUUCGAGAAAGACGCUUUUCCAGCGACAACAAGCUAAGAUUCUGGGUGUUUAAAGGGUAGGGAUGCGAUAAAUCUACCACUCUUGUUCCUGCGGGUCGUAUUUGCGAAAAUAGUCUCACACCUUUCGUCCUCCGGGGAAGCGGGAUGCUUAGUCGGUAUGCUUUCUACUUCCCAGAAUUUCAGAAAAUAAGUAUCUAUGCCAAUACUGCUGCAACAUGACGUAACAGUCGACAAAUUAUUCAACUAGUUUUGUACCUUUCCUAUUAGUUUCUAAAGCAGAUGGAUGACCGGACGCACCUGGGAUGCGUCCAGCGAGUAGGAUUUGACCAGUUAAUCGCCAAUUACAAGAUCUACAACACCGGGAAUAUGGUAAUUGCGGUCUCUCAGUACAUAGCUGUGGUACGACAAUGGCAUCGAACGAAAGUAGAGGAGUUGCUUGAUUUUGUGAUUUAAUGGUGCAUCGAGUUAAUCCUUUUGAAGUUUGACUGGUCAUGCCUUUUAGGCCGUGAAUGGGCACAGUGUAAAGCUUCAACCUGCGUAAACAUGUCGUAGUGCGACGACACCCCCAAAGCCUCACAAAAAAAAAAGAAAAAGCGAAGAAACGGUUCAGCAGCAGCAGCAGCAGCAGCAUACCGGCUCAUCCUCCUCCUCCUCCGGUUGGUUCGAUACGUUUAUCGACGACGAAGAAAGAAGGGUGGUAUGCGAAGCGUUCCAGUUGAAAAUGGUUUUAGAGUCGCAGCUGGUGCGAAACGAGGACCGGAUCAAAGAGACUGAAACUAAAAUUGCCCUGCUGCAGAGCGAGUUACAAGUGGCGCGCCUUCACUCCGACGAAUGCAGAAAAAAACUUAAACAUUUUGCAAGUUUAGCAUCCUCUCUGCCCGCAUCAGUCCCAUAGUUUUUUUUUUUAAUUUUAAAAAUAUUAUCGAUGUUGAUGUAAAUAAAAAAAAUCUUUAGUGUUUUUUUUAUUUAGACACACAUACACUCCUCCAAACAAGAACAACAACUAGAACAAAACCUGUUGAAUCGGAAGUGAAAAAAAAAACAUAUACAUUUUACAUUAGAAUAAAAAAAAGACUAACAUAAGCCUAAUUUUUACAAAUAUUUUUUAUUAUUAGGUCGCAAUGAAUAUGUGUGUUUCUAUUACUCUUGAGGCAUGUUGAGGAUUUGUGAUGUCAUUAAUAGUUGAGAGAUUAGUCAAUGCAUUCUUAUAACCUUAGAAUACAUAAAGAAUCUAUAAGAGAUACAUCUAUGGUAAAACGUCAAUUUGCAAACACUAACCAUAGAAAAUUUUGGAAACAUGUUAAAUUUCAGCAAAGAUAUCUUCUAUUGUGUAAAGAAUAUAUCUCGAAGAUUGUUUUUUAAAUAGAAACUAAUAUAUUCUAUAAUAAAUGAAAGUUAUAGAAAGAUUCCACAAUUUACCCUAAAAUGGAAUUAUAUAGAAUAUGAACAAGAUAAAUUAUAAAGUAUAUAUUGAUAUUACACAACUUUUAAAAGUUUCAUUGUCAAGAAUCAUUAUAAUUCGUUUAAAAUGAUUUCUAUCGGAUAUGGAUAUUGGUAUUGAUAUUGAAGGGAGGCGCUCGUGGGCGUCCAA